GCUACUGUCACACAUAUAACAAGAAAAGUCACCUUUUCUAUGUAUUUAGUGCAAAUUGUCUAGCCAAUGCGCAGCGUAUAAUCCAUAAAAGUUAAUCACUAAAUGUCGAAAUUGACAAGGUACCAUGUCAUGGCAGGCUCAUCUAGAUAAUGAUUUGCUUGCAAAAAGCCAAUAUCUUGCCACAGCUACAUGAGCUCUCAUGAGUAUAAAUAGGACCCAAAUGUGUAGUUAAU
rnacentral:lncRNA from 1 species